UCGCUUUAUUCAACCACGUAUCGCGUUUUCCUUAUUUCAGUCUUAAAUCGAUUGCGACAUCGCCAGUCUUGGUUGUCCUGAAUUUAUAUAUGUUGAAGAUCUUUAAAGUGUUGGGUUCUAACGAACGUUGUGAUCAGGAGAUAAACGAGAUAAGAUUAUUACAACAUUUACGUGAAAUUGAGAAUGGAUAUACCUAAAGAUUGCUUCUCACGAAUUGGAAGAGAUUGGGUUUGAGAAAUAUUUCAACGAAGUCUUAAAUAUCGCAAUGAGCUUCUGAAAAUGCAGAUGAAUGAGAUAAAACAUUAUUACGACUUGAGUAUAUAACAUCAAUAAUAGUUAUUCAUGUAUGUACGCAUGUCGUCAGUAUAGAGAAAUCCAUAAGGAAAUGAUGGAAUCAAGGAGAAAAAUUAAAGACGUUCAACAUAAUCUUUUUAAAGUGACAAAGAAACAAUUACAUCAUUAAUUGGAAUGCGGAUGAACUCAGUAAGAGGCGAUGUUUUCAUUUCUGGAGGAUGAUAAAGAGAUUGCGAAGCUUUGUAGAGUGUUUUGAGUUUGAUUCUAGAAGACGAUGCCUCAAUUGCCUUGUCCAUUGGUUGAAUUCGUUGGAGUGAUGAAGUUGUUCUUCUUGGAGGUUAUAAUUAUAUGGAAAAAUUCAAUAUUGGAUGAAUGGCUUGACUGUGAUCUUACCUGUAUUACAGUCAUACAUGACUGUCAGACAUGUAACAUCACAGUCUUGUCAACCAUGUCAUGAAAGAGAAGUUUGUGUUGUGCUAUUAUUACAAGAGAUACAAUUGUGGUCAUGGAGAAUAAAUUGAACGUUAUGGCUAAGUUCAAAAUUAUUUGUUGGGCUCUAGCAUUUAUAUCGAGAAUCCAUUUCAGGCCUGGCACUUCAUUGGCAACAAUAUUGAUAAAUUGAACAUUAUAAGUUAGUGGAGUGUUAUGAAAUGGGAAGUUAUUCCUGGCAGGCAUAUGGUCCUUCAAUGAACCGACAACACUUGUUCUUCUGAAAAUGUGACCUGCAAAUUUUUUGUGAUUUAUAACACUUUAUCUUCAACACUCUCAGCUGCCCAAACCUACCAAUCUGUAUUGCAUAUCAGUGCUUAGUUUAAUUAUUGUUCAUGUGAAAAUAUGUAAGAUUUUUGCAAUUUUUAACAUUUUAGCUUUAGUACUAAGCUGUAAAUAAAGCAAAUUUGUGAAUCUUAA